GACGAACGCUGGCGGCGUGCCUAAUACAUGCAAGUAGAACGCUGAAGGAGGAGCUUGCUUCUCUGGAUGAGUUGCGAACGGGUGAGUAACGCGUAGGUAACCUGCCUGGUAGCGGGGGAUAACUAUUGGAAACGAUAGCUAAUACCGCAUAAGAGUAGAUGUUGCAUGACAUUUGCUUAAAAGGUGCAAUUGCAUCACUACCAGAUGGACCUGCGUUGUAUUAGCUAGUUGGUGGGGUAACGGCUCACCAAGGCGACGAUACAUAGCCGACCUGAGAGGGGGAUCGGCCACACUGGGACUGAGACACGGCCCAGACUCCUACGGGAGGCAGCAGUAGGGAAUCUUCGGCAAUGGACGGAAGUCUGACCGAGCAACGCCGCGUGAGUGAAGAAGGUUUUCGGAUCGGAAAGCUCUGUUGUAAGAGAAGAACGAGUGUGAGAGUGGAAAGUUCACACUGUGACGGUAUCUUACCAGAAAGGGACGGCUAACUACGUG
rnacentral:rRNA from 1 species